UACGGAGGGUGCGAGCGUUGUCCGGAAUUAUUGGGCGUAAAGAGCUUGUAGGCGGUUUGUCGCGUCUGCUGUGAAAAUCCGGGGCUCAACCCCGGACUUGCAGUGGGUACGGGCAGACUAGAGUGUGGUAGGGGAGACUGGAAUUCCUGGUGUAGCGGUGGAAUGCGCAGAUAUCAGGAGGAACACCGAUGGCGAAGGCAGGUCUCUGGGCCACUACUGACGCUGAGAAGCGAAAGCAUGGGGAGCGAACAGG
rnacentral:rRNA from 1 species